rnacentral:rRNA from 1 species
UACGUAGGGGGCAAGCGUUGUCCGGAUUUAUUGGGCGUAAAGAGCGUGUAGGCGGCCAGGUAGGUCUGCUGUGAAAACUCGAGGCUCAACCUCGAGACGUCGGCGGAAACCAUCUGGCUAGAGUCCGGAAGAGGAGAGUGGAAUUCCUGGUGUAGCGGUGAAAUGCGCAGAUAUCAGGAAGAACACCCGUGGCGAAGGCGGCUCUCUGGGACGGUACUGACGCUGAGACGCGAAAGCUAGGGGAGCAAACGGG